ACACGUUAAUUAAAUAUUGUAAUAAAUGAGUUAUAAUAUUUGAUAACAGCACUUAUCUUUUAGCCAUUUGUUAUAUUUUUACAAUUUUUGUUUAGAUAAUUUGCUAGGGGAAUUUCUCUAAAAUUUUUCGGACAAAAUCCUUAAACAAGAAAGAGGAGGUUUGGCGUUCGACUUACCAAAAAUUCCAACCACUCCACCCCAAAUAUCUCCCGUAGAGUAACAGGAAAAGUACCUUCAAGAUGCCUUGGGGGUUGUCAAAACUCAAGCAUUUCAUAUGAAAAGAGCUCUCGAUAAAAACAAACUCAUGGAUGCAUUGAAGAACGCUAGUGCUAUGCUUGCCGAACUGGGGACGUCUUUAUUAUCACCCAAGAGCUAUUACGAGCUUUACAUGGCCAUCACAGAUGAGUUGCGUCACUUGGAACUCUAUCUUUUAGAUGAGUUUCAGACACGAUGUAGUUAAAAUGGUGGUUCGACCACAGAUUUGAGAUUAGUUGCUUGCUAAGCUAAUCUGUGGUUCGACUCUGCCUUUUUACGAAUGAAAUUUUUCAACUCGCAUUGCGAACGUUGUCAUGGUGAUUGUGAUAUACCUAUGAUCUACUUCGCGUGUAAUAAAUAAAAAUAACACGAACGGAACCACUAAACAAAUGCUCGAGAGCAGUCAAACUUCAAUUGUAACGAUUAUAACUUGAACUUUCAUUGAAAAUGUUAAAUUCAAAAACUCAUUAGAUACCUACGUUACCGACAUGGCUGACAAUUUACACAAUUUAAAAAAAUUACACUAGAAAUUGUUUAGACGGAACACCCUGCCUGUAUACUGUUUGUUAUUCAGUAUGUAAAUAAAUAAGUAAACAUAAAUAU